rnacentral:rRNA from 1 species
AGAAGUUAGCGGCGGACGGGUGAGUAACACGUGGGUAACCUGCCCAUAAGACUGGGAUAACUCCGGGAAACCGGGGCUAAUACCGGAUAACAUUUUGAACNGCAUGGUUCGAAAUUGAAAGGCGGCUUCGGCUGUCACUUAUGGAUGGACCCGCGUCGCAUUAGCUAGUUGGUGAGGUAACGGCUCACCAAGGCAACGAUGCGUAGCCGACCUGAGAGGGUGAUCGGCCACACUGGGACUGAGACACGGCCCAGACUCCUACGGGAGGCAGCAGUAGGGAAUCUUCCGCAAUGGACGAAAGUCUGACGGAGCAACGCCGCGUGAGUGAUGAAGGCUUUCGGGUCGUAAAACUCUGUUGUUAGGGAAGAACAAGUGCUAGUUGAAUAAGCUGGCACCUUGACGGUACCUAACCAGAAAGCCACGGCUAACUACGUGCCAGCAGCCGCGGUAAUACGUAGGUGGCAAGCGUUAUCCGGAAUUAUUGGGCGUAAAGCGCGCGCAGGUGGUUUCUUAAGUCUGAUGUGAAAGCCCACGGCUCAACCGUGGAG